GCCAGGUGUGGUGGUGUGCACCUGUAGUCCCAGCUACUCGGGAGGCUGAGGUAGGAGGAUCGCUUCAGCCUGGGAGGUAGAGAUUGCAGUGAGCUGAGACUGUGCCACUGCACUCCAGCCUGAGCAACAGAGACCCUGUCUCAAAAAAAAAAAAAAGGCUGAGGUGGGAGGAUCACCUGAGCCAGGGAAGCUGGAGGCUGCAGUGAGCUGAGAUUGUGCCACUGCACUCCUGCCUGGGUGACAGAGCAAGCUCUUGUCUCA
rnacentral:sRNA from 1 species